GCCGAAGUGGCGGAAUUGGUAGACGCAUCAGACUCAAAAUCUGACGGGGUAACCCAUGUGGGUUCGAUUCCCACCUUCGGUACCA
rnacentral:tRNA from 1 species